CUUUAAUUGCCAUCAUUUAGUUGGGCACUUUAAAGAGACUGCCGGUGUUAAGCCGGAGGAAGGUGGGGAUGACGUCAAGUCCUCAUGGCCUUUAUGCCCAGGGCUACACACGUGCUACAAUGGGCGGUACAAAGAGAAGCAACCUCGCGAGGGUGAGCAAAUCUCAAAAAGCCGUUCUCAGUUCGGAUUGAAGUCUGCAACUCGACUUCAUGAAGUCGGAAUCGCUAGUAAUCGCGGAUCAGCAUGCCGCGGUGAAUACGUUCCCGGGCCUU
rnacentral:rRNA from 1 species